rnacentral:rRNA from 1 species
CCUACGGGAGGCAGCAGUGAGGAAUAUUGGUCAAUGGACGCGAGUCUGAACCAGCCAAGUCGCGUGAAGGAUGACUGCCCUAUGGGUUGUAAACUUCUUUUAUAUGGGAGUAAAAUGUUCCACGUGUGGGAUUUUGUAUGUACCAUAUGAAUAAGGAUCGGCUAACUCCGUGCCAGCAGCCGCGGUAAUACGGAGGAUCCGAGCGUUAUCCGGAUUUAUUGGGUUUAAAGGGAGCGUAGGUGGAUUGUUAAGUCAGUGGUGAAAGUUUGCGGCUCAACCGUAAAAUUGCCGUUGAAACUGGCAGGCUUGAGUACAGUAGAGGUAGGCGGAAUGCGUGGUGUAGCGGUGAAAUGCUUAGAGAUCACGAAGAACUCCGAUUGCGAAGGCAGCUCACUGGACUGCAACUGACACUGAGGCUCGAAAGUGUGGGGAGCAAACAGGAUUAGAUACCCUUGUAGUC